ensembl:snRNA U6 U6 spliceosomal RNA
GUGCUCACUUGGGCAGCACAUAAACUAAAAUUGGAACAAUACAGAGAAGAUUAGCAUAGCC